rnacentral:misc_RNA from 1 species
UUUCCGUAGGUGAACCUGCGGAAGGAUCAUUCAUAAUAAGUGUUCUACUGCACUUUUUAAAAAUAGUACUCACCUUGUGUGCAAUGUUGUGUUUCUUUUCGGAGAAACACCUACACCAACCUAUAACCUUGAACCACUUUGUCUGAAAAACUAUUAUGAAUACUUAAUUCAAAAUACAACUUUCAACAACGGAUCUCUUGGCUCUCGCACGAUGAAGAACGCAGC